rnacentral:rRNA from 1 species
GCCUACGGGGCGCAGCAGUAGGGAAUCUUCCACAAUGGACGAAAGUCUGAUGGAGCAACGCCGCGUGAGUGAAGAAGGGUUUCGGCUCGUAAAGCUCUGUUGGUAGUGAAGAAAGAUAGAGGUAGUAACUGGCCUUUAUUUGACGGUAAUUACUUAGAAAGUCACGGCUAACUACGUGCCAGCAGCCGCGGUAAUACGUAGGUGGCAAGCGUUGUCCGGAUUUAUUGGGCGUAAAGCGAGUGCAGGCGGUGCAAUAAGGCUGAUGUGAGAAGCUUUGGCUCAAC